rnacentral:rRNA from 1 species
CUAAUACCGCAUAAGCGCACGGUAUCGCAUGAUACAGUGUGAAAAACUCCGGUGGUAUAAGAUGGACCCGCGUCUGAUUAGCUUGUUGGUGAGGUAACGGCCCACCAAGGCGACGAUCAGUAGCCGGCCUGAGAGGGUGAACGGCCACAUUGGGACUGAGACACGGCCCAAACUCCUACGGGAGGCAGCAGUGGGGAAUAUUGCACAAUGGGGGAAACCCUGAUGCAGCGACGCCGCGUGAGUGAUGGAGUAUUUCGGUAUGUAAAACUCUAUCAGCAGGGAAGAUAAUGACGGUACCUGACUAAGAAGCACCGGCUAAAUACGUGCCAGCAGCCGCGGUAAUACGUAUGGUGCAAGCGUUAUCCGGAUUUACUGGGUGUAAAGGGUGCGUAGGUGGUAUGGCAAGUCAGAAGUGAAAGGCUGGGGCUCAACCCCGGGACUGCUUUUGAAACUGUCAGACUAGAGUACAGGAGAGGAAAGCGGAAUUCCUAGUGUAGCGGUGAAAUGCGUAGAUAUUAGGAGGAACACCAGUGGCGAAGGCGGCUUUCUGGACUGAAACUGACACUGGGGCACGAAAGCGUGGGGAGCAAACAGGAUUAGAUACCCUGGUAGUCCACGCCGUAAAC